GUCCACGCCCUAAACGAUGGGCACUAGGUGUGAGGACCUUUUAAGGUCUUCGUGCCGAAGCUAACGCAUUAAGUGCCCCACCUGGGGAGUACGGCCGCAAGGUUGAAACUCAAAGUAAUUGACGGGGGCCCGCACAAGCGGUGGAGCAUGUGGUUUAAUUCGACGCAACGCGAAGAACCUUACCUAGGCUUGACAUCCAGAGAAUCCCCUGGAAACAGGGGAGUGCCCGCAAGGUAGCUCUGAGACAGGUGCUGCAUGGCUGUCGU
rnacentral:rRNA from 1 species